rnacentral:rRNA from 1 species
UACGUAGGGUGCGAGCGUUGUCCGGAAUUACUGGGCGUAAAGAGCUCGUAGGUGGUUUGUCGCGUUGUCCGUGAAAACUCACAACUCAAUUGUGGGCGUGCGGGCGAUACGGGCAGACUGGAGUACUGCAGGGGAGACUGGAAUUCCUGGUGUAGCGGUGGAAUGCGCAGAUAUCAGGGGGAACACCGGUGGCGAAGGCGGGUCUCUGGGCAGUAACUGACGCUGAGGAGCGAAAGCGUGGGGAGCGAACAGG